CAGUCGCCGCGGGAAAACGAAGGGGGCUAGCGUUACUCGGAAUUACUGGGCGUAAAGGGCGCGUAGGCGGCACGAUUAGUCAGGCGUGAAAUUCCUGGGCUCAACCUGGGGACUGCGCUUGAUACGGUCGAGCUAGAGGAUGGAAGAGGGUUGUGGAAUUCUCAGUGUAGAGGUGAAAUUCGUAGAUAUUGGGAAGAACACCGGUGGCGAAGGCGGCAACCUGGUCCAUUACUGACGCUGAGGCGCGACAGCGUGGGGAGCAAACAGGACUAGAGACCCCUGUAGUCACUGUCUCUUAUAC
rnacentral:rRNA from 1 species